rnacentral:rRNA from 1 species
AUUGAACGCUGGCGGAAUGCUUUACACAUGCCAGUCGAACGGCAGCACGGGGGCAGCCCUGGUGGCGAGUGGCGAACGGGUGAGUAAUACAUCGGAACGUGCCCGGUCGUGGGGGAUAACGUAGCGAAAGUUACGCUAAUACCGCAUACGAUCUGAGGAUGAAAGCGGGGGACCUUCGGGCCUCGCGCGAUCGGAGCGGCCGAUGUCAGAUUAGGUAGUUGGUGGGGUAAAGGCCUACCAAGCCGACGAUCUGUAGCUGGUCUGAGAGGACGACCAGCCACACUGAGACUGAGACACGGCCCAGACUCCUACGGGAGGCAGCAGUGGGGAAUUUUGGACAAUGGGCGCAAGCCUGAUCCAGCCAUUCCGCGUGCAGGACGAAGGCCUUCGGGUUGUAAACUGCUUUUGUACGGAACGAAAAGGCUCUGGCUAAUACCUGGGGCUCAUGACGGUACCGUAAGAAUAAGCACCGGCUAACUACGUG